UACGAAGGGGGCUAGCGUUGUUCGGAUUUACUGGGCGUAAAGCGCACGUAGGCGGCUUUGUAAGUUAGAGGUGAAAGCCCGGGGCUCAACUCCGGAAUUGCCUUUAAGACUGCAUCGCUUGAAUCCGGGAGAGGUGAGUGGAAUUCCGAGUGUAGAGGUGAAAUUCGUAGAUAUUGGGAAGAACACCGGUGGCGAAGGCGGCUCACUGGUCCGAUACUGACGCUGAGGUGCGAAAGCGUGGGGAGCAAACAGG
rnacentral:rRNA from 1 species